AGAGCGAACGCUGGCGGCAGGCCUAACACAUGCAAGUCGAACGGACCCUUCGGGGUUAGUGGCGGACGGGUGAGUAACACGUGGGAACGUGCCUUUAGGUUCGGAAUAGCUCCUGGAAACGGGUGGUAAUGCCGAAUGUGCCCUUCGGGGGAAAGAUUUAUCGCCUUUAGAGCGGCCCGCGUCUGAUUAGCUUGUUGGUGAGGUAAUGGCUCACCAAGGCUACGAUCAGUAGCUGGUCUGAGAGGAUGACCAGCCACAUUGGGACUGAGACACGGCCCAAACUCCUACGGGAGGCAGCAGUGGGGAAUCUUGCGCAAUGGGGACGAAAGCCCGUACGACGACGACG
rnacentral:rRNA from 1 species